rnacentral:rRNA from 1 species
UACGUAGGGUGCAAGCGUUAAUCGGAAUUACUGGGCGUAAAGCGUGCGCAGGCGGUGAUGUAAGACAGGUGUGAAAUCCCCGGGCUCAACCUGGGAACUGCAUUUGUGACUGCAUCGCUGGAGUGCGGCAGAGGGGGAUGGAAUUCCGCGUGUAGCAGUGAAAUGCGUAGAUAUGCGGAGGAACACCGAUGGCGAAGGCAAUCCCCUGGACCUGUACUGACGCUCAUGCACGAAAGCGUGGGGAGCAAACAGG